rnacentral:rRNA from 1 species
CUGCUGCCUCCCGUAGGAGUCUGGGCCGUGUCUCAGUCCCAGUGUGGCCGAUUAACCUCUCAGUUCGGCUACGCAUCGUUGCCUUGGUAGGCCAUUACCCCACCAACUAGCUAAUACGCCGCAGGCCCAUCUCUAAGCGAUGCUUUAAAGGCAUCUUUGCUCCGUAGAGUAUAUUCGGUAUUAGCAAUCGUUUCCAACUGUUAUCCCCAACUUAGAGGCAGGUAACCCACGUGUUACUCACCCGUUUGCCA